UGACAUUAACAUGCAGAAUCGUGAGCCACAUACUCUGGAGACCUGCAACAAUUUUCACGAGCUGUUUCGGACGUUUCUUCGUUAGCAUCUUGAGGUUGGCAUGCUUUCCAUCACCGUGACUUCUAUCUCCCCGUAAGCCACCACCGCGGAGCCUCCCUCUGGCUCUGCCCCUGCUGGAUCAUUGUCAGACGAAGCCCUCGACUCAUUUGAUCUGCAUGUCGGGUACUGCGGGAAUGCAAAGAAAUCCGCGAACAAUCGAGGAGAACCUGCAGUGCAACAACUCUUCGAAUCAUCUGCCACAGCUGUUUUAUGCUGUGCUUCAAGGGUUUGAAGCUGGUGCUCUAGUUGCUUCACAUAGUUUAUAGCUCCUCCAAUUAUUGAUGCCUGGUCAUUCUGCAGCACGUAGAAUUUUGAGUGAAUUAUUUGGCAAAAAUGCAGACUAUUCAUUCAGUACCUGAUGUGACCAAACGUCUAAACUAAAAGGACGUUCGCUAUCAUGUCUGUUAGUAAAUAUUUGAUGAAUCGAAAGAAAGGUAGCUCAACAGGGGACAACUCUCAUUAGUAUAAUACGAACAGGAUCUGCCACUGAUGAUGGAGAUAUUUAAUUGGAGAAAGAGAGAAAUCUGAGAAGAGACUUACCAGCAUUGCUGCCAUGUUUAGAGAAAGGAUUCUGGGAAGAGAGAAGGAGAUGAUGUUUAAAAGAGAUGAAAUAUGAUUACACUGAGAGAUAGACUAGUAUGUAGAAAACUGUUACACGAAAAUAUCCGUACUACGAUCUUCCCCUUGUUUCUAUAGCAAGAAAUGUAGUAGUGGGAAUGGACCACUCAUGAGUCUGCAGAGUGACAGUAGAGAAACAAUAGUUCAAAAAUGGAUAUGUAAAGUCGUUGGUACAAAAAUAUUUUGCUUACUAUUUUUAUGUCCCCAUUUUUAGCGUUUGAAUUUUGUGUGAUCAAAACUUCGACUUUGAUUGAUAUUCUGAUUAAUUCUGAAUCAUAUAUUUGUAAGAACCGGUUUGUCCAGUCUUAUUUAUCUAAAUAAGUUUUUAAGUUUGUCAAAAAAAAAAUAAGUUUUUAAGAAAAAUAAUAAGUUAUUUAAGAAAAAGUAGGUGUAUAUAUACUUUUAAGAAAUGAAGUGAUUCUUUGUACUAUUUUUAAGCCAGAAACCGGCUUUUAAGCCGUUGCCAAACACGCCCUUUAUACUAUUUUAUAUAUAUUUUUUAAUCUCCGCGCGCAAUCCAAAUGUUAAUAAUUCGUUGAGACGGAGGAGGGAGUAUGACACUAUUAUUAAAAAUAAUAAUUAAUUACUUGAGUUUUAUUAUAAAAAAAUUGUGGUAAUUUUUGUGUAGAAUUCUUUUAAACUAUUAAUUAAAUCUUUGUAUCAAAUCUUUUAAUUGUUGCAGAAUUUAAUCAAAUGUGCAUCUAUAAGUAAGUAAGGUGGAUGAAAAACAAUAUAAAUAAGAGUUUUAUUGUUCAAAUAAUUUAACAGUACUAUAAUUUUUAAUUUUAAAAAAUAUUUAAUACUAAAAUACAAAUCCUGAUCUAUGAUUAAUAGAAGUACUUAUUACGUGAGAAAGCAACAUGAAAAUAAAAUAAAAUCAAACUAACUUAUAAGAUAAGAAAAGUACGAGAAAUAAUAAUCACAAUAACAAAUUACUGAUUAAAAGCAACAAAUUAGUGAUUGAAAACAUAUCAGAUUCUUAGGACGCAGUGAAGCAUUCAAGCAUCCCAUAAGCCAUAACUCAUAAGGGUAUGACCCGCCCCUCAAAGGAUAAUGGAGGUUAUUAUAGUUACUUGCAGGUUGUUUAUAUCGAAGGUUUUCAGGAGUGAAAAAUAUAAUUCUAAAUAUGAGAUUAAUAUAUUUAAAAAUGUGUCAGAAAACUAAAUAUCAUUUGCUUCUUUGUUUUGAAAUGUAGGUCGUUUGAUAUUUUUCCCCGCAUUUUGAAGUUCUUUGAUAGUAUAGUUUAAAAAAAAAAAUUAAAAAAAUUUAAUAAAAAUAUAUGAUUAAUAUUAGGGGUUUUCACAUAAAUAUCUAAGUCUAAAAUUAUUUUUGCAAAAAUACAACAUCUUUUUUAAAUAUUUUGCUAAAAUAUCAAAAUUUUGAAAAUAUCUGCAAAAAUACUGUAUGCAACCCGUUGCAACCACAUGCUACCAUACUUGCAACCCCGGUGGGUCCAAUUAAUUGAAAUUGCAUCUGAUUGCAGACCGUAUUUUUGCAAAUAUUUUCUAAAAAGUCAGUACUUACACAACUUUUUCAAAAGAUAGUAAAAUCGCAAAAAAACUUAGAACAAGUGGUAUUUUUGAUAAAUUUCCUUAACAUUAUAAUUUUAAAAAAAAAGUUUUAAAAUUUUUAACUAUAUGAACAAAAGGCUUAAAAAUGUGUGGAAAAAAAUCGAACGACUUAAAUUUCAAUACGAAAGGAGUAUAUAAAAACAGAAAGAAAAAUUACAUAUUAUUUUUGAAACAUAACCGACUAAUAUAGUUAACAUCACCGAAAAAUUAUAUUUUACUGAUUUAACAAAUUUUACGCUUAGAAUUGACCAACCAAUUUUAACCAAAACAACCACCGAUAUCAUAAAGAGGGGUCAUAAACUAUCAAAUAACCCAAUCGAAGAUACUCUAAUAUUCUAGUAUCUCAUGCCCAGAUAGAUGUUGUUCCGACUUAAAUAGUGCAAGGGCUCAUCAUAAUUUAAGCCGAAUAAUUAUUGAUCUACGUAAUCAUUCAUCAGGCUCUCAAAAUUUAAUCCAAAGUCGAAACAUAUUUCAACGUGAAUCGUGAAAACAAAUUUUAGUAUGAUAAGUUAUAAUGAAAUUAAGAAUAACCAUUUGCUUGAAUGUAAUCUCUUCUAGCCUCUGAUCGCCACAAAAUUUCUUGUACAACACAGUAUUAAGCUUUGCACUUUUACAUUCUUACUAGUUUUAUACGUCGGUUUUUCUAUGGUGUGCCUAUGGGCACAUGCUAAGCACGAAAAAUUUUGUGCUUGGCUCCUAUCUCAUGAUAAUGGUGGACCUCCUGCAAAUACACCAACCACACCAAUCAAAAUCUCUCAAAUACAAAAAUUUACGCGCUUAGCAUGUGCCCAUGAACACACACUAGCCAAACCGUUUAUACAUUGCAAAUUUGCCAGCACUAGCAGAAACAGACCAUGUUAUUGUUACCAGCAGAACGUGUCUGUUUGGCUUAGUCGAAAAAUUGUCACUUUCUGGGAAAAUCUUAUUGUGAACAGGCCAUUAUCGCACUUUCACAAUGCACAUAUCUUGAUUCCAGACGACUCUACAAGGAUCGAUAAAUUAUACACACAUCGAUAAAUUAUACACACAUCCAUUACAAUACUAAAUUAGACAAGGCAGAACUUGUUUCUAUUAGGCCGACCCAGCCACCCAUUAACAAAAAUAGACGGAUGAUGUGACUUUAUUUAUGCAUAUUCAUGAAAUGUAAUUUCGGCUUGAUUAGUCGUAAUUUAUUAUAAAAUAUAUUCGAUUUGUCCGGUUAUAUCAAGAAUCGUCCGUCUAAAAUAUUAAGAUAUUAUAAAAAUAUCACAAAUCAAUCAUAUAUUAUAUUUCAACACUCCACUACAUUUAAAAUCUCAUUUUUGAGAUUCUUGGGUCGAAGAGUGGAUUACGGGCGUCCAUCUUUGAAGCAGUUAAGAAUUUUGAUACGUAUGUUGAAUCGAUCCAUCUAAAACCUUAACAAUUCUGAUACAAUGUUGAAAAUCAGUUUAUUUAAAACUUUAACUUAUUAGAAGAAGGCCCCAAAUGAAUUAUAUUUCAAAGGACUUGUGUCAAUUUCAGCAGACUAAAGUUUUAUUUCAAUAGACUUCAUCGAACUUGUUUCAUUUAAAAUUUGCACCGAAAAACGUCGGAAUUAUUAUACGUCAAAUUUUUAGGAUAAUAUACCUUCAUUCAUAGUACUUCUGGUAUUCCUAUCGAAAAUUUCUGCAUUAUUACAGCAUAUAUAAAAUUAUACAUUUCGCCAGCUACUAGUACGCGAAAACUGAACUAAAUGAAAAAAAAUAGAAGCUUGAUGUAAUGGACUUCAGGAAAAAGAAGAUCCCGCCAAAUUAUUAAAUUUCGGCUUCUUCGAUUUUUGCCAGCAGCUGGUUUACAGCAUCAGCAAUCUCAGUUACCGUAUUCAUCUGGCAACCCUCUUCAAUCUGUCAAAAAAUUAUACUUUAAUCUUGUUAAUAUAUCAAACAAACAAAAAAAAAAAACUUCGCUUUAAAUUGAUAAAAUUCGAUAGAAUUAUUAUUUACCUUGAGGCUUAGGGUGUAGAGAACCAUUUGCUCAACGGUUGUGACAUUAACAUGCAGAAUCGUGAGCCACAUACUCUGGAGACCUGCAACAAUUUUCACGAGCUGUUUCGGACGUUUCUUCGUUAGCAUCUUGAGGUUCGCAUGGCUUUCCAUCACCGUGACUUCUAUCUCCCCGUAAGCCACCACCGCGGGGCCUCCCUCUGGCUCUGCCACUGCCGGAUCAUUGUCAGACGAAGCCCUCG
rnacentral:lncRNA from 1 species